AAGGACUUAAGUUAAAAAAACUGUCAACCUUCAAAGUUGAAAUUAAAUCGGCAUUUAGGCCUUA
rnacentral:tRNA from 1 species